UUUUUGCAUCCAGUUCGUGGCCUCGCUGAUUCCUGGGUGUGUGGGUCUCCCUCUACGAAAGUGCCUCUUCGGGGUCUUUCAUUUGGGGGCUCGGUCCGGGAUCGAGACCCGCCCAGGGACCACCGACCCACGUCUGGGAGAGAGAAAAUAAAACCUCUCACAGAUAGGCCUGGCGAAGAUUGUUGUUCUUUGAGACAGCUGCCUCCAACGACAUCUGAGUACCAGUUGCUGACUUCAGACUGUUCUAAGUAGACUGCGAACCCUAGACUUGCUAUGGAUGUGAACUAGUCUGCUGAUAUGGACACCCCCUAUCUCUGCAACAGUGUCUGCUAACCAGAAGCCCCUGAUGGAUUCCCCGUUGCCUAAAUUCCUUUUUGCUUUUGACUAGCAUUUCAACCUUCUGGGGUCCCUAACUUCGUCCCAAAGUCAGCAGGAAGCAGUUUGGAAAAGAAUUUCGCCGUCCAUUCUCCCUGGUUGAAAUGCUAAGUCAAAGGGAACUUCCUUGCGUGGGGAUGCCAGUACCUAUCACUCC
rnacentral:lncRNA from 1 species